CUUUUUUUCAAUAUAGCUUUUUCGCUUUCUUAAUUUUCUAUGCAAAUUACAAUGGAACCAUAGCUGAUUUCAAUAAACGCUAAGAGAGAACAACUUUUUGAGAAAGUCCUAAUCGCAUUUCAAAGAGAGAAAACUCACCAGCCAUGGCAGUCGCUUCUCGCAUCGCAUCCAAAUACAAAUUGACAGAAGAAGGAAAAUAGACCAACUCAAGUUCAUAAACUUUUAAGAGAAAUGGAAUCAAAGAGAAGAGGAUAGGAUCUGAGCAUCCUGAGUUUUUUCCUAAAAAUCGUGAGUUGGGUCGUCUCUCUUUCUCUUUGUUUCAGAUUUGCUGAAGGAUUAUGCUCGAGGUGGAAUUCUUGCUGCUGUUGCAUCACUCUUUGUCGCAUUUUCAUCUGGAAGAAAUAUAUUGCAAUAUCGGCAUCGAAGCAGACUCUCCUUACUCAUCAAACAGUCGUUUGGGAUACUCAGUUCAGAAGGUAAAGGUCUUCUUGAUGUUAGCAUGGAUUUGAAUCAUUUCAAAGGUGCUUUUGAUUGGGUGGAAGCAAUAGGUCCUGUCGUAUAAUACCU